rnacentral:rRNA from 1 species
UACGAAGGGGGCUAGCGUUGCUCGGAAUCAUUGGGCGUAAAGAGCGUGUAGGCGGCCCGGUAAGUCCGCUGUAAAAGUCAAAGGCUCAACCUUUGAAUGUCAGUGGAUACUGCCGGGCUAGAGUCCGGAAGAGGCGAGUGGAACUCCUGGUGUAGCGGUGGAAUGCGCAGAUAUCAGGAAGAACACCAACGGCGAAGGCAGCUCGCUGGGACGGUACUGACGCUGAGACGCGAAAGCGUGGGGAGCGAACAGG